UCUGGGGAUCUUCACUAAAAUCCCCACCUCGGUGCCCAAUGGCAAAAAGUCUCUGAAAACGCCCGCACCGUUUUCAAUCACCGUCAUUGAACUGCUCCUUGUGUGUGGGACACGGAUGGUGUUGGAGACUAGCUCACGACAACUAGUACAACCUGGGGGAAGGCACGGUCGGGGUUAAUUCACAUCACCCGCGCGCAUCAGAGGAAUGUUAGAUCAACCGCAAUAAAGGAAAGGGUUGAUGGCGUUGCCUUGGGAAGCGGAGAACGACAAGGAAAUGUGCGGUUAGCCUGGGGGAGGCGGAAGAGAUCAAGAUCCCUGGACGCG
rnacentral:sRNA from 1 species